UACGGGGGGGGUAAGCGUUGUUCGGAAUUACUGGGCGUAAAGGGCUCGUAGGCGGCCAACUAAGUCAUACGUGAAAUCCCUCAGCUUAACUGGGGAACUGCGUGUGAUACUGGAUGGCUUGGAUUUGGGAGAGGGAUGCGGAAUUCCAGGUGUAGCGGUGAAAUGCGUAGAUAUCUGGAGGAACACCGGUGGCGAAGGCGGGACUCUGGGCCGAUACUGACGCUGAGGAGCGAAAGCGUGGGGAGCAAACAGG
rnacentral:rRNA from 1 species